rnacentral:rRNA from 1 species
AGGAUGAACGCUGGCGGUCUGCUUAACACAUGCAAGUCGAACGGAGUAGCAAUACUUAGUGGCGGACGGGUGAGUAACGCGUGAGAAUCUACCUUCAGGACGGAGACAACAGUUGGAAACGACUGCUAACCCCCGAUGUACCGAAAGGGCAAAUAUUUAUAGCCUGAAGAAGAGCUCGCGUCCGAUUAGCUAGUUGGAGAGGUAAAAGCUCACCAAGGCGACGAUCGGUAGCUGGUCUGAGAGGACGAUCAGCCACACUGGGACUGAGACACGGCCCAGACUCCUACGGGAGGCAGCAGUGGGGAAUUUUCCGCAAUGGGCGAAAGCCUGACGGAGCAAGACCGCGUGGGGGAAGAAGGCUCUUGGGGUUGUAAAACCCCCUUUUCUCUGGGAAGAACGCAAUGACGGUACCAGAGGAAUCAGCAUCGGCUAACUCCGUGCCAGCAGCCGC